CAGUAGCCGCGGUAAUACGAAGGGGGCUAGCGUUGUUCGGAUUUACUGGGCGUAAAGGGCGCGUAGGCGGACUGAUAAGUCAGGGGUGAAAUCCCAAGGCUCAACCUUGGAACUGCCUUUGAUACUGUUUGUCUUGAGUUCGAGAGAGGUAAGUGGAACUGCGAGUGUAGAGGUGAAAUUCGUAGAUAUUCGCAAGAACACCAGUGGCGAAGGCGGCUUACUGGCUCGAAACUGACGCUGAGGCGCGAAAGCGUGGGGAGCAAACAGGAUUAGAGACCCCGGUAGUCCCUGUCUCUUAUAC
rnacentral:rRNA from 1 species